rnacentral:lncRNA from 1 species
CCUGCUAGAACAUAAUCUGAUGCACCUAGCAACGCAACCUCUUGCAUUUCCGACAUAGCCCAUAACACAUUAGUCUAGAAAACCUGACAUUGGGAUAACCAGUCUGCAAUCUAAUAUCAUAACCCAAAUUUAACAUACCAAGCAAAGAAAGAUCCAUUCAGACCUUCAAUUUCCAUAACCGCUAGACGAUGUCGAUACACACGAUCUACAACCACUGCGUAGUCGGAUCACGAGAACUUCUAGUCUCCAACACAUAUAACACAUGAAUCACUAUGCCUGGUCCCAC